GGGCAAGGCAAGGUCCCUGUUCUUAUGGAGCUAGCACUGAGGUGCAAGCCCAGAGGCAGUCUAUACCCCAACUCAACUGGCUGGUCCUCAAUGCUGCCUGCUUCCGUGCCCAACUUAGAACUACACAUCUGCUGCCUCUUGGUAACAUGUCAUUAUAAGGCUUCUUCAUCAGCCCUAACCCUGCCAACCACUCCUGCCUCACUGAAUGUGCCAACGGAUUGCUCAGCUCCAACCAAGGAAAAGAAGAAGGAAGUUGGAUACUUUAUACCCUCUACAUUGUCCAUUAGCAACACAACCUAGAGCUAGGAUGGAGAAAGAAAAUGCCAAAAUGCUAAUGAAAAAUGUUCAGAUGUAUCACAUAUUAAGCAUACAUGAUCUCAAAUAUUUUGCCUGAUUUAUGCUAUGCAUGCUAUUUUCCAUGUUGUGUAGGCUCUGAUGCUAGUCUACAUUUACAGAAAUCUCCAUCAGCUGUACAAAUGGCAAUUUAAAUACAUUUAACUAUGUGCUAAUAAUCUCAUAAUACAAUUUAUCAUGUAUGAUUGGCAGAAGAAAUUAUUUGGGGCAAAAGCUAUGAUUGUAUUGUUGUAAGUUAUUAUGAAUGCUGGGCAGUGUAGGGCAUGGCACUUGCUACCACCUCCCAGAAAUGUGUAAGGGCUGUUGAAGGUGCCUUGUUCUUCUUUCUUCUUCAAUAUAAGCAAAGCUAUUUAUAUCAUAAAGCUGAAACUUGAAAUUCCACCCUUGCCUAUUCUUUUUCCUCAGAAAGAUGUCUUUCUUUCUAAGAAUAUAUUGCACUUAAGGAUAGGAGGUGUCUCCUUUGGAC
rnacentral:lncRNA from 1 species